AGUAACCUAAAAAAGCGCGCAAAACCGGAUCUUUGAGUGAGACAUAGACGUAACAGUAGAAUAUGGGAUGAUUGAAAGAGGCUCUACUCUUCAAAGUAUCUUAGAAAGAUUUCCAAAACAAUAUAUCUGAAUGAGGAUAUAGACAUCAAUGCAAUAUGGGAUGAAUAGAAGAUUGUCCACUAUCUAAAGUAACUUAGAGAGAUUCCCAAAUCAUAUCUCUGAAUGAGGAUAUAGACAACAGUAGAAUAUGGGAUGGAUGAGAUGGGAUCCAUUCGCUACAGUUGUCAAGAAAGUUUUACAAGCCCAAAUAUUUGAUUCUGGAAUUCCUUGUCGGCUCCUUGGCAGAAAUUACCUCCAUAGGCAGGCUUUGGUGAAUCGCAUCUUCUUGAUCGAAUCUGUCUUCCAUUACCGCAGGUGACAGAACACGCACUCCAUGCGCUCCAGUCAGAAAACUUGCCGUCCACUACGAAAAGGAAAAGUUGCAUGAAAGGGAUCACUUGACAGUUGCCAUACUUACAGCAGUCCCUAAUCUUGCAAGCUUUGAUCUCUUCUCCCUCUCCUACACACGGUUCUCCUCCAUAUGAAGGCCGAGGUGCUGUACAAGUCCUGAUUCUCUUAACGACUCCGCUACCGCAUGAACGAGAGCACGGUGACCAGACAGACCAGCCUGACCAUUCGCCAUUUUCUGGGAGGAAAAGAACACAGGGUCUGAUGUGUUCAGGGUCUCCUUGGUCCGUACAGUCUCGUCCGCCAUGCAUUGGUUCUGGAUCGGUACAAGAGCGCCAUCUUGUUUGAAUGCCAUAACCGCAUGUUUGUGAACAAGAUGACCAUGGUGUCCAACCAGUGUACUUUCCAUCAACUGAAGAUCAAUGACAGUAUUUUACAAGUGUAAUUUGGGACACUCGAUGAUUGUGCAGUGGAUUUUUCCAUUAUGGCAACGGCAUUCAGGAGUACACGGUCCUGGUGACCAGCGUUCUCCGUGUUUGUGCACUAAACCAUCGUAGAAACAUUCAUCUGGAAGUACAAGAUUCUUCAAAACAAAUAUACAGCUUGUGUCCUCGGUCGAUGGUAGGUAAGUCCGUUCGUAUCAUGCAUUAUUUUAUUACUUCGAGUCUGAUAUCUUGGUCAGCAUUAGGCUCGUUUCAUGCUUUGUGCUAUGUUAUAGCACAGAGUUUUCUGUACAACGUGUUCGUAUCAUGCAUUAUGUUAUUACUUCGUCUGAUUACGUGUUCAGCAUUAAGUUCUGUAUUAUGCUUUGUGCCAUGUUAUAGCACAGAGUUUACUGUACAAGUUGUUCGUACCAUGCAUUAUUUUAUUACUUCGUCUGAUUACUUGGUCUGCAUUAGGCUUGUAUUCUGCUUUGGGCCAGGUUAUAGCAAAGAGUUUUCUGUACAAGUUGUUCGUAUCAUGCAUUAUAAAAUUACUUCGUCUGAUUACGUGUUCAGCAUUAAGUUCUGUAUUAUGCCUUGUGCCAUGUUAUAGCACAUAGUUUGCCUUACAAGUCUUGUCUAGCACUUGUCUAGCUCAUCUAGUUUCAGGUUCUGUAUACCAUGGUAUGGUAUAGCGCAGUGUUCUAUGUAAGUCGUUCGUAUCAUGCAUUAUUAUCGCUUAUCUAUUAACUUGAGUUGUUAUCAUGUGGUUAUAUUAUAACUCUGUCAGGAUUAAGCUCUAUGUCAUGCUAUAUAUCUUGUCAUAGUACACUGUUUUCUAUGCAAGUUCGUUCGUACCA